rnacentral:lncRNA from 1 species
AGCCCAUCUAGUAACACAAUAACCUGACUUAGUGCCUGCUUAUCUGUUCUUCCUUUCUGCCUCCCUGAGUCAUGUUCUCCUGUCAGUCAGUGGGGUGGCCCUUGCUGUCUGCUGGGACAUUUCUCUUCUGGGAAGCCUUAGAGUCCCAUGCUGGGUGCUGAGCGAGCAAGGACAUGAUUUCCAGGAGCUACAGCCUAAUGAGAAGACAAAGCUGAUACUUCGCAGAGAGACUGAGGAGGAGCCUGAGACUGUCUGUGGACCUCCUGUGAAUAUCAGAAACCAUAUUUUGGAGGGGUUAGAAGAAGGGGAUAUGGUGUUCACAUUUGCUUCUAUUGGAUUCCAAUCAAUCUUCCCUUGGAGACAUAUACACCCUGGCAAGUGAUCUUUCCUAAGCAAGAACAAAACUAUUAAAAAGGAUUCCAUCCAUCUCCUCCUUCCCUGUGCCCCAACUCUGC